rnacentral:rRNA from 1 species
CCUACGGGAGGCAGCAGUGAGGAAUAUUGGACAAUGGGCGCAAGCCUGAUCCAGCCAUGCCGCGUGCAGGAAGACGGUCCUAUGGAUUGUAAACUGCUUUUGUACGGGAAGAAACACUCCUACGUGUAGGAGCUUGACGGUACCGUAAGAAUAAGGAUCGGCUAACUCCGUGCCAGCAGCCGCGGUAAUACGGAGGAUCCAAGCGUUAUCCGGAAUUAUUGGGUUUAAAGGGUCCGUAGGCGGUUUAGUAAGUCAGUGGUGAAAGCCCAUCGCUCAACGAUGGAACGGCCAUUGAUACUGCUAGACUUGAAUUACUAGGAAGUAACUAGAAUAUGUAGUGUAGCGGUGAAAUGCUUAGAUAUUACAUGGAAUACCAAUUGCGAAGGCAGGUUACUACUAGUGGAUUGACGCUGAUGGACGAAAGCGUGGGGAGCGAACAGGAUUAGAUACCCUGGUAGUCCACGCCGUAAACGAUGGAUACUAGCUGUUCGGGGCAACCUGAGUGNGUAGAGAAGAGAUAGUAUACCGACCGUCGGAGGUACGUUCGCGAGAAGUAGUAAGUUAAAUUAGUAAGUUAGUUAGCGUUGNGAGNGCGACGGACGACGACGAGGAGGAGG